UAGGGAAUCUUCGGCAAUGGACGAAAGUCUGACCGAACAACGCCGCGUGAGUGAAGAAGGUUUUCGGAUCGUAAAACUCUGUUGGUAGAGAAGAACGUUGGUGAGAGUGGAAAGCUCAUCAAGUGACGGUAACUACCCAGAAAGGGACGGCUAACUACGUGCCACCAG
rnacentral:rRNA from 1 species